rnacentral:rRNA from 2 species
CCGAAGCGGGGGAUAACAUUUGGAAACAAGUGCUAAUACCGCAUAAUUAGUUGGAACCGCAUGGUUCCAACUUGAAAGAUGGCUCUGCUAUCACUUUGGGAUGGACCCGCGCCGUAUUAGUUAGUUGGUGAGAUAAAAGCCCACCAAGACGAUGAUACGUAGCCGACCUGAGAGGGUAAUCGGCCACAUUGGGACUGAGACACGGCCCAGACUCCUACGGGAGGCAGCAGUAGGGAAUCUUCCACAAUGGACGAAAGUCUGAUGGAGCAACGCCGCGUGAGUGAUGAAGGUUUUCGGAUCGUAAAACUCUGUUGUUAAAGAAGAACAAGUGUUAGAGUAACUGUUAACACUUUGACGGUAUUUAACCAGAAAGCCACGGCUAACUACGUGCCAGCAGCCGCGGUAAUACGUAGGUGGCAAGCGUUGUCCGGAUUUAUUGGGCGUAAAGCGAGCGCAGGCGGUUUUGUAAGUCUGCUGUGAAAGCCCUCAGCUCAACUGAGGAAGUGCAGUGGAAACUACAAAACUUGAGUACAGAAGAGGAAAGUGGAACUCCAUGUGUAGCGGUGAAAUGCGUAGAUAUAUGGAAGAACACCAGUGGCGAAGGCGGCUUUCUGGUCUGUUACUGACGCUGAGGCUCGAAAGCAUGGGUAGCGAA